rnacentral:lncRNA from 1 species
GAGCAUGGCCAACCCUGGUCGCAUACGACAAGGCACGGGCACCAUGUAGUAGUGGUCUAGCUGCCAAAACACAAUCUGUGGCACUAUAUCACUGUACCCUUUCUCCUUAAAAUUGCUUUGUAUUGCCCCAUAAUCCGACUCCUAGCAACUACCACCACUAUCAAGAUUUCAUAAUGGUUGAGCACAUAUACCUUCUUCACCAUUUGAUCCGGCCUCAAAUUCCCAUCCACAACCACUUGGAGAAUCAUAUCAAAUUGUUCACCUGUUUUUUUAUCUAAUCCUGUGAUGGUAAGGUAAAGUUCCC